rnacentral:rRNA from 1 species
AACGAACGCUGGCGGCAUGCCUAACACAUGCAAGUCGAACGAGACCUUCGGGUCUAGUGGCGCACGGGUGCGUAACGCGUGGGAAUCUACCCUUGGGUUCGGAAUAACAGUUAGAAAUGACUGCUAAUACCGGAUGAUGACGUAAGUCCAAAGAUUUAUCGCCCAAGGAUGAGCCCGCGUAAGAUUAGCUUGUUGAUGGGGUAAUGGCCUACCAAGGCGACGGUCUUUAGCUGGUCUGAGAGGAUGAUCAGCCACACUGGGACUGAGACACGGCCCAGACUCCUACGGGAGGCAGCAGUGGGGAAUAUUGGACAAUGGGCGAAAGCCUGAUCCAGCAAUGCCGCGUGAGUGAUGAAGGCCUUAGGGUUGUAAAGCUCUUUUACCAGGGAUGAUAAUGACAGUACCUGGAGAAUAAGCUCCGGCUAACUCCGUGCCAGCCGCCGCGGUAA